UCACUAUGUUCAUUAUUUAUUCAAGGAAUUAUUCAAGAUCAUACAAGUAUAACUCAAGACAUUCAAGAUUUCCAACAAGGUUCAUCAUUAUUCAUUCAAAGGUCCAUCCAUGAAUUUUAUUCAAGAUUAACAUAUCGUAAAUAUACAUUGUUUCAUUCCAAUAACCAUUACACCAUUACAAAUAUUUUACAUCAUACCAAAAGAACAUACAUUAAAAAAAUCCUAAGCCUAAACCUAACUCUUCAUGUCAAAACAUCAUGCCAUGACCAAGCUUCAAUCUUCAUACUUCCUUCCAUAGUCAUGCCGUCAUUACAAACCAUCACCACCAAGAAACAUUCAUGGAAACAGCCCUACACUUACAUCAAGCCCUUCAUGUCAUCAACUAACACAAUGAACUUGUUGACAACUCAAAAAUAA